UAUAUAAAUCAAGCAAUAGAUAUUCGCAAAUUAAAUUCAUUGUUUGCCUCUUAAUUAUUAAAUAAUUAUUACGCAUUUGAGUCAGUGCAUCAUGCAAGAUGAUCAAGGACCUAUUAUACUUCUGUAGAAUAAUAUUGAUUUGCAUUGUCAUUAAGUCAAUGUAUUACAAAUUCAAUCUAAUUAAUUUUCUAUCUACGUCGAUUUAUUUCAUUUUGGACUUAUUACGGAACAGCUUACAUAAAUUUCGAGCUACAACGGGGCGAAUGUUUUUGAGCUAAUGUGAAUCUUAAGCAAAGAUGCGUACGCAGACACACGUGCAGAAAUACAACGUCUGAAUGCGUUGCUACUUUUCCGGGACUGGCGGAGACCCCUUUGUCUCAGGUGAAGACUGGUAGGGUGCUGAAUAGCAUCCGGGAAGCUUCCAUUGCGGCCGAAAGUGCCAGGCUGAGAUGCCGCAACCUUAAAGGGGAAAUUUCUGGGGUCAUGAAUAAUUCCCAUAGGUUAAUGAUGGAAGGAAUUAAGAUCCUGAGCGAGAGGCUCGAAAUCCGGGCGGACGAUCCUCCGUCAGCCAAGGGAACUAUUGCGCAGCUGAAGGCAGAACUGAGGGCCAAGGAUCUGCGCAAUAGAGAGGUGAUGGGCGAAAACGUUCGCCUCAAGAGGGCGAAUAAAAAAAUGGAGAAAUUCUGGAGAACCCACCGGCUGGGAAUAGCCGAUCAAAGUCUCCGGAUGUAAGAGAGUCACUAAGGGUACUGACGGAGGCUGUCCGCAAUAUCCAACAACAGAUGCAACAGCUACAGCAGCAGCAGCAGCGGCAGCAGACAUCGGGUGGAGCAGCGACUGGAGCUGGUGGGCCAUACAAAGGCCCCACACUCCGUGCUGAGCCCGCUGGACCCCCUGCGAAACAGGUAAGUACAGGUAAGACACUAAUCGGGCAGGAGGAAUUUGUCCAGGUACUUGGCCGGAAAGAGAUACGAGCCCAGAGGAAGGAAACGAAUGCUUUCCCCCUGACUACAUCAAAAGAUGGAGUUAGCAACUCUCAACCCUUGCGGGGACAGCCGUCCCCUAGGAAAAAAGGGAAAAGGAGUGGCGCGUAGCGAAGAAGAAAGGGGAAAAUAAGGGAAAGAGAAGUAGCUGCUAUUUCCCUAUCGUGUACCGAGGAGACGACAUAUAGAGACGUACUUCUCCGGGCCAGUGAGAAGAUACGAGGCAAAGGGGCAAGCGAGAUUAAGGAGUUCCGUCCCAGAGGUAAAGGUCACUCACCCCCUGCGUACGAGUACCAUAAGGUUGGAGGGACUAGAUCCGGCCGCUAACGGUACUUGGAUCAGGAAUGCACUCCUGGAGUUGCAUCCCGGAACAAACCCCAACCUCAUUAAGGUGAGAGAGAUCAGGGUAGGCAGGGGUAGACUAGGCGAGACCACUGUCACGGCUCCGACGCCUAUCAUCCAGGCGGCCCUGAAGAGGGACAGAAUAGUCUUGGGACUGACAGUAGCGAAGGUGCAAGAACUUAGACAGCGGCCCCUCAGAUGCCACCGGUGCCUUGCGCGAGGACAUGUCGCGGCAAUGUGCCCGGCUACAAAGCCUCGGAUAGAUUUGUGUUAGUCUGUAGGAAACCGGGCCACUUGGCCAAAACAUGUACAAACAAGACAGCGUGCCCGAUUUAUGUAGAUGCCGACUGGAAGCCGACCAAGCAUCGUGCCGGUUCUUGGGAGUGCCCGGUAAUGCCUCCCAGAAAAUGGGUGGACAAGGUAUUCGGAAGUGAACCAAAUGUUCGCGAGGAAACAAUCCAGAAAGACUCGUAUAAGGUCGUGGAAAAAACUGCAGUGAAGACUGUGAAAGCGACCGGGGAGAAAAGUGUGGAUGAAGACAUGGAGGUGAAACACGGUGAAUCGUGCACCUCCGUAGAUGUAGAAGAAGCGGAGGGUCUAUAGACAAUGUCCUCUGUUGUUCUACAGAUAAACAUAAACCACGCGCGCCGUGCGCAGGACUUGCUGGCACAGCGCAUGAGCGAAGACAGAGUGGAGAUUGCGGUCAUUGCAGAGCCAUAGUGGGUUCCUCCGGGGGAUGAGAGAUAAUUCUCAUCCCUAGGAGGGACUUCACUUUUCACGGUGCUUGUGGGCGAGAAUGGAAUACCCUGCAGCCAGGUGUGUCGGUGUCUUUUUUACGUAGCCGUUAAAUGGGAGGACUCGCUGGUAGUUUCGGUACACUUUCCUUCCAGCGAGAACAUUAGCAUGUUUAGUAGACACUUUGACAAGCUCGAAGAGCUCUUAUGAACAUUCCCCGUUCUCCUAGCGCUGGUGGCUGGCGAUUUUAAUGCCCGGUUCAGCAGAUAGGACCCGGAAGGCAACAGUAACCGCAGGGGUGAGUUGCUCUGCGUCUGGGCCAACAGAGUGAACUUGGGUCUGCUUAGCCGGGUUGGCUGUACCACGUGCGUUCGACCGCAAGGGUCGAGCGUUGUAGAUCUAACUAAGGCAGCCGGCGUCCGCCUCUCUGACUGGAGGGUGGAUGAGGCUGAGUCCCUGUCGGACCACCUGUAUGUUAGAUAUAGCUACAGGCAGAGGUCCGAUUUCCUCGCCUACAAGAUAAAAAGCCCCCUCGUUGGAAAAUUAACUCCCUGAAUGAGGACUACUUGGAUGCGGCCCUCAUUUCAGGGGAGUAGACAGAUGGAACUAUGUGCGAGGAAAGUGUGGUAUGGAAUGUGUGGACAAGCUGGUGAAGUGGGCACAGUCUACACUGAAGCAAGCAUGCGACAUGGCCAUGUUCCGGGUGAGGGGACAAACCCGCGGUAGUAAAAGUACUUACUGAUGGUCAGACGAAUUAACGAACCUUAGGGCCGUUGCGACGGCUACAGUAAGGAAACUUUCCAGAGCCAGGAAAGAAAAUAAUAGUGAGGAAAUAGUACGGUGCCUGGACGCUCGAGUAUGCAAGGUAUGCAAGGAGGGCACUGGCUAGGGCUAUCAAGGAAGCCAAGAAGAACUUAUGGAAGGACCUGCUGGACUCCAUAGAGGAGGAUCCAUGGGGCAGACCUUACAAGCUGGUCUUGUGAAGGCCAUAUGCCCCAUCAGUAACAGAAACCUGGGUGGAUGAGGUACUGGAGAAUAUCCUCUCUGAACUAUUCCCAGGAGAACCGGGAACUGAUGAGCCACAGGAACCUACGCUCUCAGAGGUGGUUAUCUUUGCGGAGGAGGUCUUGGCAUUUCUUUAAUUAUCAAUCUAGAUACUUGCCAAUGUGCUAUACAUUGCUUAUAGAAUCUCUAUUUACGCAUAUAGACAAACUACUUCACGGAUAUAAACAUACUACAUUCAAUCGUGUAUAUAAUGAUCAGAAGAGGGGAUACAAGCUUCUCUUCCGCCGCAAAUUUCUAGUAUUAAACUUUUUCAUCGCGAAAAAUGUCGAAAACAUCAUUUACUUCAUCAACGAGAACAGGAGUAAUUUGUGACCAAUUUUAAUGAAGGAGGUCUUAUUUUAAAGAUGAAUCUACCAUAAAUCUUUGUCGAAUUUCUGGAAAAAUUUUUUAUUUGUUUAUAAACCAUUCUUGAAAAAAUACUAUUUUUAACAUGAUUUUUUAUGAUAAAAUAAAACUUUCUCAAAAAUUCAGAAAAAUUAUGACCUAGAUUAAUUCUUCGUCUUUAAAAUACGACCUCGUUCAUCAAAAUCGGUCAAGAAUUACGCCAGUUCUCAUUGAUUACGUAAAUCAUUAUAAAACCAUGUUUAAUGAACAUUCUUAAACUAAAAAAUGUAUAUCUAUUUUAUCAAAAAUACUUUUUUAUCAAAAGAAAAAUAUUUUUAUACAAAAUAUCUAUUAACAAUCGUAAAAAUUUGUCAGUUAGAUAUAAGUACAAGUCAAUUAAUAGUAAACGUAAAUCAUGUUAAUAUAUUCGGCAAAGAAAAUAGGCAUUGUUACUUAUAGCAUAUGUAAAAUCAUACUAGAAUAGAUUAACUUACAAUUAAAAUGUUCACUGUCAAUCUAAUCCUUGUCUAGUCAAAAGCAAUGUGUAUAUUUAUUUGUCAAAUAGUACUUUUGAAACAAAAUAAAGAGUUGAAAAUUGUAUAUUAUAUGUUUUAUAUAAUUGGUUACAUUUAUUGUAGAUGAUGGUCAUACCUCAAUAAACAAUAAACACAGAUUUAUGAGUGUUUUAAAUGAAAUUGCCAAAUUUGAAUACAAACACCAGUAAUUCUGAAGACAAUAAAUGUAUUACAUACAUUUUAUUACAAAAAACAAAAUAUUACUACUCUUUGUUUUUAUAUCACUAUCAUCAUAUAUUAUCAUAAACAAAGUUGUUAAGUUAAGCUGUUUGGAAAAUCUCACUUGCAUGAAAAUCAUAAACAAUUGCUUUUUAUUGAUCAUCUACAAAGUAGAGUUUUGUGAGCUGGAAAGAUUAGGUUUUGAACCUCAAAGUUUACAUACCAUAUGUUCCGUUUCAUAUCUGUGUUCUAAAAUUGUAGAUCAUUAUUAUCAUUACUAUAAUUGUUAUUUAUUAAAAAUAAAAACAUGAUAAAAUGUAAAUACAAUACAUAAGUUACAAAUUUAUGUUUAUGAGAAAACAUGAGCUUUCCCAACAGACGGAUAUGUCUUUGAACCAGAUAUCCUUUGAUUCUAAUAUAAGUACAUAAAUGUUUUAAAAAAUAUUCCAUUGCAUAGAGUAAUCUAAUUAGUACAUUUAUAUAAAUAAUUAAUAUUGUUUUGAAAUAUCAUCAUGAAUUUCACUUGAAAAUAAAUAAGGUUUUUGUUACUUUGCGACUUAUGCUACUGUUAUGCUACUGUAGCUUCUUUUAUUUUAUUUCUUUCUUAAAAAUGCUUAUAACGAGUGUUUUAUAAGUCAACAGGCAUUUUUCUUUGUAAGAUUUUUUUCUAAGUAUCUUAUGUGAUUUAGAGGGCAAUGAAGGAUGGGUUCUUCGAAAUGGAGACUAAUAGCGUAACAAUAUGAAUAUUUUAUGUAAUACAUUAUACAUUGAUGUAAAAAUAUACAAAAAUGAAUUAUUGUGGGUGUGUAUGUGUGUGUGUGUGUGUGUGUGUGUGUGUAUACACACAAAUAUAUCUUUCUAUUAUAUAUGUCUAUGUAUACGUGUAUCAUAUACUGUGACGUACACGUGUAUCCCUCACUUAUUCACAGUACUUUCUCCUAAGGGUCAUAUAUAUAUUACUAUUUGAAGUAUCUGCUUUUAGGAACUCCUUGGAUACUCGCUAAGAAUGAACAUAGACAAAAACAUAUUACCACCUUUGUUCGAGUUUGGACAUUUUUAGUCAAGUAUCUAGUCUUCAAUAAUAUGUCGAAAUGGGCAAUAAAUAAACUGUGAAAGUAGACUCUUAGGUGCGACGAGCCAAGAGUUUAUCCGGCGUUUAUCCUUCAAAUAUCAAUGCAACUCUCAUGAGUCCACACGGUCACCAGGAUAAAGGAUCACACAUGAGACUGUUUAAACAUUUCGAAUAAAUUAUCUUGACACGCUCACGAUCAAUAAGAAUAUUGAUUUCCCUUUCCUAACACUUUUUACUUAAACUCCUUUCUUUCCAUUUUC